GGCGGGGGUGCUAUACAUGCAAGUCGAGCGAACGGACGAGAGUGCUUGCACUCUCUGAUGUUAGCGGCGGACGGGUGAGUAACACGUGGGUAACCUACCUAUAAGACUGGGAUAACUUCGGGAAACCGGAGCUAAUACCGGAUAAUAUUUAGCUUCGCAUGAAGCAAUAGUGAAAGACGGUUCUGCUGUCACUUAUAGAUGGACCCGCGGUGUAUUAGCUAGUUGGUGAGGUAACGGCUCACCAAGGCAACGAUACAUAGCCGACCUGAGAGGGUGAUCGGCCACACUGGGACUGAGACACGGCCCAGACUCCUACGGGAGGCAGCAGUAGGGAAUCUUCCGCAAUGGACGAAAGUCUGACGGAGCAACGCCGCGUGAGUGAAGAAGGUUUUCGGAUCGUAAAACUCUGUUGUAAGGGAAGAACAAGUACGUUAGUAACUGAACGUACCUUGACGGUACCUUACCAGAAAGCCACGGCUAACUACGUGCCAGCAGCCGCGGUAAUACGUAGGUGGCAAGCGUUAUCCGGAAUUAUUGGGCGUAAAGCGCGCGUAGGCGGUCUCUUAAGUCUGAUGUGAAAGCCCCCGGCUCAACCGGGGAGGGUCAUUGGAAACUGGGAGACUUGAGUGCAGAAGAGGAGAGUGGAAUUCCAUGUGUAGCGGUGAAAUGCGCAGAGAUAUGGAGGAACACCAGUGGCGAAGGCGGCUCUCUGGUCUGUAACUGACGCUGAGGUGCGAAAGCGUGGGGAUCAAACAGGAUUAGAUACCCUGGUAGUCCACGCCGUAAACGAUGAGUGCUAAGUGUUGGGGGGUUUCCGCCCCUCAGUGCUGCAGCUAACGCAUUAAGCACUCCGCCUGGGGAGUACGGUCGCAGACUGAAACUCAAAGGAAUUGACGGGGACCCGCACAGCGGUGGAGCAUGUGGUUAUUCGAAGCACGCGAAGACCUUACCAAUCUUGACUCCUUUGA
rnacentral:rRNA from 1 species